ACACACAUACUCCUCCCUCUCACUGUUCUUCUGAUAACUCAUAUAUUCAGUGACUUAGGAGACCUGUUAUGGUACAGGGCAGAGACCUGUUAUGAUUCUGUGAAGGUAAAUAAACAAGACCUUCAACACAGUUAGAGAAACUAGGGCAACCACCUUCAGUGGGUUGACCAAAGCAAGCUAUGUACUUUGUAUUGUAUGGGAGACAGCCUGACAACAGUAGCUACACAGGAUUACAAUUAAAUCAUCUUUUUUGUUUGUUUGUUUUCAGGUGGUUGUGUACAGCAGCAGAAUCCAGUUUAGCACUCUCUCUGUCAUUCACCAAGGGCAUGAACCUGAAAAGGAUUGUUCCAAAGCAAAUAUGAUGCCAUAUCCUUAAGUUAAGGAUAGAUAAGUCCAUCAAAUACUGAAGAACUACUAAAGUUGUUUUAAGUAUUUUCAUUAUUGUGCUGAAAAUAUUUAGUGGCUGAAAAUGUGUUUUUUUUUAAUUGCUUUUAUUGCAUCAGCUCUAGCUGUUUUUUUGGAAGGAGGUACAACGACACAAGUUUAUAUAUUGGUAUCAAUGCUAACAGGAUUGUGGACAUUAAAACCUGUAUUUACAGAUUGCCUUGCCUUUCUGACUGGAUUAAGAUCUAAGAUAAAUGUGUCUACUGCUGGUAUAUGACAGAUAGAAAAGAAAAGUUCUAUACACAGUAUAUGCUACUGAUGAGUUCAAUUACUAUGUACAUUACCAAGUGUAACCUGAGCAAAAUAACAGAAAAACUAGUUAGAUUAAAUAUAUAGAAAAAAUAUAUAGAAGAAGAAACUGAUCUAUAUAGUUUAAGCAUCUCCAACAUCCCACAUUUGAGCCAAGCUACUUAUUUUCAGAUCUAGAGAGAUUUAUUGCUUAGUUUUACAAAAGAUAAUGUGUUUAAUAUGUAAAUUUAUCCUGCUUCUCUUCCAGGCUAUCUGAGCACCUUCCAGACAAUAACAAAUUUAUCUCAACAAUCGCUAAGAAAUUUUUAUAAACCCCUUUUCACUGUUUAUCAUCAGGGAUGCCAAAAUCCUCAUAGCUGCCAUGGUUUUAACUGUACUUCUGAGUGCCAUGAGCUAAAGCCAUCAAGUGACCUCUAAUUUUUAGGCAUCUUGGUACUGCUGACUCAACCUGGAGUUAGGAGUCAAGGCUGUAUGUGCUGUUAGUGGGAACGAUGCUUCAAAAUGGGAUUCAGAACAACCAUCUUCAGUGGUAUAGCAGUAAAUACAAAGGGAACAAAUUUAUGUAUUUUGUGACUGGAAGUGAGCGAAUACUCUCUGAAUGAGGGGAGUUGGUAAACUCGGUGCGUACUUAUUACUAGGUACAAGUAGUUACAACCCAGUUUAGGAGCUUCAAGCUCUUACCGGGUGUACAUGUUAAUUUUAGACUUAAAGUCCACACCAACCCUUGCAAAGUCUUUGAUUCUUUGAUACCUUGGAGUUCACAUCUGGAGAAAAACUACACAUUUUUCUUUAAAAGAUUUCUUUUAAUUUGGUGAGAAAAUAGGAAUUUAGUCAAUAAGGGUUUAACAGAAACAACAAGCAACUUCACAAUAGCAUUACAACAGAUGACUGAAACUAGCAAGCAUUGCUAUAGUAAAGGAACCUUUUUUACACCCAGCAAACACAAAAGUGAAAUACCCACAAACUUAAGUGAAAUACAGACAAGUUGCCCACAGAAGUAAAGGAAGAGAGAUUAAGAGAAGAAAGAAUAAAGUGAGAUAGAGAGGAGAGAGACAUAUUUACCACGCUAGAGGUCACAUGUUGACACGUCAGGAGAGCAGAGGCCAAGGGUAGAUGGAGACCCAUGCAUGUCUGUUUAUAGACUCUGGACACUGCCCCUAGGCGGGACCUUUAGUUCACUGCCACUCACUGUCCCCCCAGCCAAAGUGAGGGGUGCCACAGCCACUUAGAGGCUCAAAGGGGUAUGGUGUGGGCAGGGCACCAGGUGGCCUUAUUGAUUGACAGCCCAGCCACAUGGCUUUCCCUGCCAUGUGCUCUUCAUGGGCACAGCUGUGUUGGCUCCAGGCCUAGGCCUAACCACUGCCCUUCUUCCCCCACCACACAAACAGACAACGUGGUUUAUUUGACCCAUCAGUCAAAUAAUCCAGUGAGAUACGAAUCCAGUCUCUGACACAAGUGCAGCUGCAAGCUAACUGACUGGGGAUAACAUGAAUGUUUCCCUCUUCAGCCUUAGGGGCUUUAAUUCUGGUCUGUAACAAAGUACCUCCUUCCCUUUGGUUUCGAAGACAUCUGAAGAUGUUUUGGUGUUGGAUACUGGCAAAGAUCAGAAUACAGCCUUUUAUGAACAGAUGGAGCCUUCAUUCCUUUAUCAAGGUGAAAAGUGAAUUAACUUGCGUCUUCCCUAUGCUAGUUAGUUUCUUAUUAGUUUCAGGUGCAGAAGACAGUAUUAGUAGAAAGAGUAUUUUAAGAAAUAAGGGAAUAGUCUAAGGCAGGAGUCAGGCUUCUGAGCCAAGAACCUACAUCAUGUGAAAUCGAAUAAAUUAAGCAACUGUUCCUAAUCUUUAGCAUUUCCCAUUGAUUAGUAUGCUGGUUGCUUUUGCUGGCCACAGUUAGACCACUUCCCAACAGUGAGCUUCCCAAGUGAACAAAGGACUAUUACAUUUAAAAAAACCCAACAAACCAAAACCAAAAAAUCAAAACCAAAUUUGAUUAAAAUAAAAGUCGGGGUUUUUUUAAUUAGAAAGAGCUUAAAGUAGUGAUAUCAGACAGAAUAGAAUUUUUUAAAGGUUUAUGCACCUCUUCUAUGAACAAUGCUGUUUUUAGCCAACAUGGUGAUUUUCCUAGUAGCAGCAAAUGUUAGCUGGUCACGAGAAGGUACUGCUUCACACCUUGAUCCCUGCCUAUCUAUUCCAUCCUGAAAACUCCCAUGUAAUUUGAGGCCUUCUGGCUUGCUAGAAGGCUCAGUAGCUUGCAGGCUCAGUAGCUGUUCAGGAGGUCUUUACACUGCCCUUUAUAAAGGCAUAUGUAACAAGUAGCUGUCACAGCUAAUUUUGGUAGCUUUUAUUCUUAUUGUGGGGGUUAUGGUGAAUUCCACCACGACACAAGUCUCUCCAUCCAUAAAAUAGGAAGUUCAGGCAACUAACUGAGAGCUGGUAUUUGGAUUAGGAGGGUCAGGUACCUAAAAAUAAGCUGCAGCCAUGCUCAGCCCAGGGAUGUUCAUUUAGAACUAGCAGACUGACCUACAGCAGACCCAGAACAUUACUUUUUAAAGUUAUUUUAUAGAACUAAGAGAGGAGAUUUUCCACAGAUGAUCUGCCCUCUCUUUUAAAUUCAGCUUAGACACAGGCAUUAUUUUUACUGGAGAAAGUUACUAGAAAUGGCUGUGCUUUAAAACCAUGUUACAUAAAAGAAAUAUAAAUAUCAAAAUGUAAGAAAAGUUGCAGAUCUUUUACUAAGCUGAUUUUCUGACUGUCAGAGAAAAAGAAAUUUAAGGGUGGUAGGAGAGAGGAGACUAAGAAGAACUUCAGAUUUCUCUCAAGUGUGGGGAUAUUGAAAAGUAUAACUUAAUUCUGAUAGCACUUGUGUAUCUGAUUUUGAAAGAGAGCAGAUUCAAUUUAGAAUAACUCUUUGGAAGAAAAACUUUUAGGUUCUUCUAAAAAGUUUGACUAUAAAUAGGAUAUUUGAUAGAACAUAUUUGGGCUAGCUGAAAAACACUAGGCCUUUCCCAUGAGAAGAAAAAACCACAUUUUCUUUCUAAUUCAACAGUGUUCAGUGCCUUUUCUUUCCCUUUUUCUGUGAACAGAAUUAAAGCAAGGAUGCGUGUGUGUAAGCAGGAUAGGAGGAAUUGCUCCUGCUUCAAAGGGAAAGGAAGUGUUUUGGAGUGUGAAAUACAAAAGAGGGUAAAAUCCCACUAAUAAUAACUAUAUUUUUAGUACUGACAUUAAUAUCACAUAUUUUUUACACUGUGGUCUCUGGGACUAUCACCCUUGGCAAGGGUCAGUGCAAAGGCAGGCAUGUGUUGGGUUAGAGCUUUGGUGGUCCAUGCAAACAACAUGCAAGUAAAGGCCCUGGGUUUCCUGUGCUGGUUCUUUUUCUCUAUGUAUUUAAACCACCCAGCCACGGCAAAUAAAUAGGCAGUUAGAGUGUGGGUGUGUAGUUGGCAGCCUAAGGAAGGAUUUUAAUGAGAAAGUGCUCCCACUUCUCCUCUUCUUCCCAUUUCCCCCCUUUUUAUUGCAAGCACCUUCAUUAGGAGAAAGCUGGGAAAAGCAUUUCCUUCAUUUAUCAGAGUCCUUGCUACUUCUCCAGUGUUUUCUGUUAUCAUGUGCUCAAGCUGUACCCUGGCUGGAUUCUCUGCAACUCAGGAGUGCUCCUUCAGUCGUGCCACUCCCAGGGCAAGGCACCCGAGUCCUUCACCUUUCCACCAUCAGCCAAAAACCAUAUCUCCCCUUCAGAUUACAACAAUGCUUUUUAACUCACAAUCACAUUCCUUCUUUCCCCCUCUCUCCCCAUGGAAACAUUCCAUAGGUUGGAAAAAAUCUUCAUGAAUUGGCCCCCCGGGAUCUUGUAUCUCCUAUUUUGAGCCAGCAUGCUCGAGGGGCUCUGGCCUCACCAGGCAUUCCCUUGUGGCAGUAAAUGGUUCUUUACAAUGUAGCUCAGGAAGCUUUCUUUUUUUCCUGUGUAGCUGAAAGUGUUAUUGAUAAGAGUCAGUUCUCUGUUGUCUCAGGACCAUCUGUUACUGGAAGAGGCAAAUACUUUGCAUUUUUGGUGAUAAUUUGUUCUAUGAGAAAAGGCAACUGCUGAAAUGCAUUAAUGGCUCAGUCCUGGAAAAGCAACUGUAAUGAUAAACUCUGUCACAACAUUUGGUAUUAAAUGGCAUUAAAUGCCAUUGCAGUGAGAGUCACAGUGACAGGGUCCAGGACUGAGUAGUCAGGGAUCACUGUUUUUAACUGAUGAGUUUUCUCUAGUAGCGAAAGGUCAUUUGAGAACAUGCAUUUAAUGGAUUAGAGAAGCCUCUUAGGCAUCAGUGCUGGGACUCACAAUGUUCUUGAGGUGGGUGCCAAAAUGAUACCGGUUGACACACUGCUGUGGUUUAUUUCUUUAUUUUCCCAUCCGUAGGGAGGGGUAUGAAGGUCAGUGCUGAACUACAUCUGUGAGGUCCUGUUAGAAAGCUUGUACUACCUGUUCUUGAGUGGAACCAGUUUUGGAUUCAACUAAGAACUGUGCUUUUCAUACAAGCACUGAUUUUGCCAAGAACAGUCAAAUGAAGAGGGGAAAAACUGGUACAGAAGGUUCUUUGUGGCAGUGCUGGAAGAUAAAACGCAGAGACACAUUCAACAUGAAAGGUUCUUUUAUUGCUGUGAUCUGUCUUUAAAUAAGCUUUGCUGUAAGUUCGGUAUUCUGCUUAAGGUGAGGCUUAUGGUACCUGCCAGUUCUGUGCAGAUCCAACAGGCAAAGAGUAUUUAAACUUCUGUUACUGUGAACAUUACUGUGUAUUUUGGUGACUUUGACCAUUUUUGGAUUUUAACAUUUUUCAGAACACUGUAAUUGCUAUACAUUAUCAAGCCACAUUAGCACCAUGUCAUCUUUGACAGGACCCAUGCCCUUUACAAGAAGACAUAAGAAACCACAUACAUAAAAUGUCACAGGUAACCAAUAAAAUAAGGUAAUGUGUUUUCUUCAUCCUACCUGGAGUGGGGUCAAGAAGAGAAUACUCCCAUGUGGAGUGGCUAAGAAGAGGGGCUAGCUGAGUGUGCACACACAAGUAUUAAUAUUGAAUUUCUUUUUUCUUGAAUCAAAGGUGAACUUUUGCUUUCUCGAACUGAUUUAAAAUCCGUUAGUUUUUUUUUUCCAAACAGAGAAGGCUUCUACAGAGUAACAGCCUAGCAUGUAUCCAUGGUGGGCCUUUGUGUAAAUGGUGGUGAUGUAAUUCAAGGCUGAGGUGUUUACUACUAAGUGAAAGAAGAAUAAGCUAUAAUACAUUUAUAAUGUGUUGAUAGUGUUCAUGGGGGUGGUUACUAAAGAGAAGCUGACUUAGGAUAAUUUAGUUUUGCAUCCAUAAUCUCUAUCAUGAUAAUUCUAGCAAAAGCCUGUAUAGUGCUAGUAUGUGACAGUCAGCAUAUGCUACACGGUCUUUUCCCUAAAUGAAUCCUGAGAAUUAGUAUGACUGUCUUAGACUUGAUGCUGUUUGGAUCUGGGUGACUAAAGAAAGUAGAAUAUUAAAGCAGCCUCUCCUGCCCUCAUUUGUCCCCAUGUACACCAUGAAUAUACACAUUAGCAUAGGCUCUAACUGUGUGAUCACAUGCCACUUGUUUCCUCCUACAUCUCUGCCUUGUUCAGUGCAAGUGAUCAGCUUGGCAAGUUAUAUGACACUGAAAACAAGAUAGAAGGAAGUGUGCAGCAUAUAAGGCUAAGAGGGCAUAUAUUUCAAUAUUCCUGUAAAAUGCCAGUGUAAAGUUCCCAAUUAUGAUGUAAGAGAGACCGUGGGUGAUGGAUAUAAAGGAAAGAGUGGUCCUGAGCCUGCAGCUCCCCACCUACAGCUUUACAGCAAGAUAAAAUAUGAUUAUUUUGACCUGGUAGCACUUUUCUAUAUGCUAAGUGCAUGCUGGUAGCAUGGUUUGCAUUGGUGUAAGAGAUAAAUGUGAAAUCUAGCACUUCUGCCUUAGGCCCUGCUUCAUUCAGUAGGCUUACAAAAGGUCUUCUUCAUGCAUACACACAGCAUAGGUCAAAACAACGGGGACCAACCCUUCUAGAAUACCACUGUUGAUAUGCUUUUGCUUUGAGAUCCCUGCUAGCAGGUCUUGGAGAAGAGUGAAGGGUUUGGCCUUCAUAAUUUUAUUUUUUUUUCCAGAGGUCCUUUUAGUUUGGCAGUUAAGGACAUUUGGCAAACUACAGAGCUCUCCUACAUAAUUUGGACUGGAAGACAAUUGCUGGUGUAAUCAGGAAAGAGAUAAGACUUGGUACAGGAGAGGAUAUAAGAAACUGAAUCAGAAGUACUGGCAAAGAUUCGAGUAGAAGAUAGCACAGCAUCUGUUUCUACUACAUUGACUUGAGUCAGUGAUAUCAGAUUUUUCUCCUCCCCACUUUCACGAGAACUGAAUUUGUACACAAAGCUUAGAAGAAAAGCAGCAGGGGAAUCUGGAAACAUGGUCUGUGGGUAUAACUAGUGUUAAUAAUCUAUAAAUUCAAUAAGCAUCAGAUUUAAUCCUCUAUCUCCUCAGAAAGAAACAAGAAAAAACUGUAUGGAAGAAUGUUGGCCUAUGUUUCAAGCUGAUUUUGAAAUGAGCUAGCAGCAGUAGAAAAUCCCCCUCAUUUUCAAGUGUCUCCAAGAGUUUUUUAUUCAGGAUAAUCUUUAUUGGGAAAAAAAGAAAAAUAUAUGCCUUAUGCAAUAUGGUCCUCGGUAUCACUGAUGGAAAAUACUGUUGCUAUAUUAUGAAGUCUAAUUUAUGUAUGCUUUACACAAUAUAUCUACUGUAAAACACAAUGGUAUGAAUUUGAGAAUGUUUUGAGAGUAAUCCAGAAUAUAUAAUUUGAAAUAAAGACUGUAAAUGUUUUAAUAUA